rnacentral:lncRNA from 1 species
UUUUUCUUUGCUUGAAAACUCUUCAUUUUUUCAGUAAAAAAAAUAAAUAAAUGUAGACAUGUUAUUUUUGACCCUCCCUCAACUUUUUUUUUAAAACCAUAAUUUGGGUAUAAAGCCCAUUUAUAACUAAAAAAUAUUCUUUCAUAAGGAAAGGGCCAGGUCCAAAAAUGACCCGGCCCAAAGAAAAUUAAACAAAUUACAUUCAGACAAAAUUAAAAAUGGAAAGCCAAUUUAGGAAACUAUAAAAGCCGAUAAGCUUCUUGACCAACAAUUCCUUAGCUUCCAACUUUGUUAAUCUUCAAGUUCUUGACUAAGCUGAACUUUAGGCCAUAAAAUUAUGUGAAAUCAGCUAUCCGCUACUGAAAUCAACGUCAUUUGAUGAAGAUUUUUGUUCAUCCAUCCUCUACAUAAAUCAGAUAAGUGUCUCUCCUUUCAAUCUCAUAUAAACACUUUCAUUUCCCUCUUUCUCCUUCUGGGUGGAUUGAACCUAUAACCCUCCCUCAACUUUAAUCUAUUUUUAACAUUAAAUAUUUAUCUUAGCUUUAUUUUAUUUUUAAUAGAUUUUAUUUGAUAAAACUAAAAAUAACAAAAAUAGUUAUGUUUUUAGAUACACCACUUUUAAAAAAAUUAAGGAAAAGAGAAAAUUUUACAAAAAAAGGGUCAAACCCAAUAGGAUAUUGCCACACAUUAUGUUCUAUUCCAAUCUGUAUUCGUGGCAUAUUCCAUUGAAGAGGAGAAUAUUUCAUGCUUCCUACCUAAAUGUUAUUUAUCCUUAUCUAAAAUUAAAGGGCAUUUUAGAAAAAGACUAGCUAAAAAUAAACACCAAAGACUAUACCUAGUAGGCUCUAUAAAUAGAAACCGAUAAGAAACCAAUAGAAGGGAGGAUCCAAUAAUUAAGAAAUCAGCCACAAAAAGCGUGAAGAAGCAGCCGUGAGACCCCUUUUACUUCUUCCAAAAGCCUUAGAGCUAAGAAAGAAAGAAUAAUAGGAAAAAGCUCCAAAAAAACAACUCACACAAAGACACCACGAACCACCUGAAAAAAAUCAUAAAACUCAUCAUUUAAACUCUCUGAAUAUUAUAUGAUGAGUUUCAUGGUGUUUUUUAGGUGGUUUGUGACAUUUUUUGUAUGAGUUGAUUUUUGGAGUUUUUUCCUAUUAUUCUUCCUUUCUUAGCUCCAAGGCUUUUGAAAGAAGAAAAAGGGGUCUCACGGUUGCUUCUUUAUAAUUAUUGUGAUUGAUUCUUAAUGAUUAGAUCCCUCCCUUUCCUUGAUUUCUUAUAGGUUUCUAUUUAUAAACUCUACUAGGUCUAGAGUUUGGUAUUUAUUUUUAGCUAGUCCUUUCCUAAAUGCCUUGAAUUUUAGGACAAAAUUAAAAAAAUUUAGGGAGGAAGAAUGGAAUAUUCUCCCCUCCAAUGGAAUAUGCUAUGAACAGAGAUUGAGAGAGAAUGUAAUGUGUGGCAACAUCCUAUUGGGUUUAACCAUUUUUUGUAAAAUUUCUUUCUUCCUAGAAAAUAAAAAAACCAAAGUAAUGUAUUUAAAAACAUGACUAUUUUUGUGGUUUUAAAUUUUAUCAAAUAAAAUCUACUAAAAAUAAAAUAAAAACUAAAACAAGUAUUUAAUGUUAAAAAUAGGUUAAAACUUGGAGAGAAUUAAAAAUCAUAUAUGUACACAUAUUUGACACCGGAUACAUCUAUCUUUGAUACCAGAUAUAUGCACCUGACUGCAUUGUAUAAAAUUGAUAUUAGAUACAUCAAACUAAUGUUGGAUGCACUAGAAGAAAUUGAUAUUAGAUACUCUAGACGGAGUUGGUACUGGAUACACUAGAUGAAAUCAAUAAUAGAAACAAACACACCAGAUACAUUAAGAAAACACACUAACAAAAAACAUCAUGAAUCACAUAUACAGUAAAUGGAUUUUUGAUGAAUUGAAUAAUAAAGUGACUCUGAAAUUGAUAGAAUAGAAUUUAUUUUGUCUUGGUCUUUUUUUAGCUCAAAGACAUGUUAUUUCCUCAGAGUUAUUACACCCUUCAUUUUUGUCUAAUUUAAAGAGAUUUAAAUACAAAAAAUAUUUUAUUUUUACAAGAAAAUAAAAUCGGACGCACGUGUACCUCAAAUACAUGUAUCCAACGUGUGUGUCUUGAAUGAAUCUCAGACAAGUUUUGUAACUUUUAAAACUCCUAUUUCAACUAGCACUUAUGUAGUAUAAUAUUGUGUUUUAUGUAGUUUUCUCCCUUUUUACCAGAAUUCAAUGAGGAAAUUACACCUAAUGUAUCCUAAAUGUCUGUCUUUAAACUUUUGUCCUCACUUAAUAAAUAAUUUUAAAAUGACUUUUACUUUAAAAAAAUAGCUGGAAAGAAGUUGUGCUAUCCAUCACACACAAGUUCUAACUUUUGCCUAUAAGAUAGAAUUUGUGGUCAAUAGAACAUGUUCACUAUCUUGAAUAUUCUGAACUUUUGCUUUAUGGGCACUCGUUAGAACUUAUGCCUAAUAUGGACGACAUACCUAAGUUUUAAGUUUUGCCUAAAAGAGAAUACUUCUGGUCAAUUAAGCAGGUGUACAAUUUUAAAAUGUCAUGAACGUCUGUCAUAGAGGCUAAAGUUAGAAUUUAUGUCUGAUGGACAACAUAUCUAAGUUCUAACUUCUGUCUAUAAGGUAAAACUUCUGAUCAAUUAAGAAAGAAGAAACUUACAGAUAUUCAAAGAGAAUAAUCGUGGAGCAUUUUGAAGAAGGACGUCAAAAGCUUCAACGGUGAAGAGUAACUUUUGGGUUUUUUAUUUAGGAUAAAGAGACUGACCAACCAAAGACUGAAAACAUCUAAAUCUACAAAAAAUAUAGAAGCUAAGGAAAAUUCUCGACCAUAAAGGUCGAAGUUGAACCACAACUUUGUAUAUCUAUGGAAACCAUAUCAAGAUAAAAAUAGAAAAAAUAAUCUUAAAAGAGGAAGAAGACACUUACAAAGUAUUCAAAGAGAAUAAUUGUGCUUAGAGACACUGGAGCAUUCUACAGUAGGACAUCAAAAGCUUCAAUGAGGAACAGAACCCUUUGGGUUUCCUAUUUCAAACAAAGAGACCAAUUAAUAAAAGAGUGAACAAUUAGAUCUUGAAAAAGAAUAGAAGCUAAAAAUGAUUCUUGACCACAAAGGUCGAAAUUGAACUGCAACUUUGUACAUCUAUCGAAGCCAGAUCUAUAUCAAAAAGGUAAAGUAAUCUCAAGAGAGGAAGAAGACACUUAAAGAGAUUUAAAGAGAACAAUCGCCGCUUGGAGAUACCGAAGCAUUCUGCAGCAGGACGUCAAAAUCUUCAAUAAUGAAGAGAACCCUUUGGGUUUCCCAUUUAGGACAAAUAGACAAACCAACCAAAUUGUGACGACAACUAGAUAUGCAAGAAAGAUAGAAGUGAAGAAAGAUUCUCAACCACAAAGGUCGAAGUUGAACCAGAACUUUGUAUAUCUAUGAAAACCAAAUCUAGAUAAAAAUGAAAGACAAUCUCAAGAGAAGAAAACACUUACAGGGAUUCAAAGAGAACAAUCAUGGUUUGGAGAUACCGAAGCAUUCUACAGUAGGACGUCAGAAGCUUUAACAAUGAAGAGAACCCUUUGAGUUUCCUAUUUUGGACAAAGAUACCAACUAACCAAAGAGUGACAAUAGUUAGAUAUGCAAAAAAAAAAAAGCUAAGGAAGAUUCUCGAUAACAGAGGCCGAAGUUGACCCAUAACUUUGUACAUCUAUAGAAACCAGAUCUAAAUAAAAAAAGAAAAGAUAAAAUCUGGAGUGAAAGAAGACACUUACAAGUAUUCAAAGAGAACAAUCACGUCAUGGAGAUACUAGAGCAUUCUACAACAGGACGUCGGAAACAUCAAUAAUGAAUAGAACCCUUUGGGUUUCCUAUUUUGGACAAAGAAACUAACUAACUAAAGAGUGACAACAGUUUGAUCUAACAAAUGAAUAGUGGCUAAUGAAGAUUCUCAACCACAAAGGUCGAAGUUGAACCACAACUUUGUAAAUCUAUAGAAACCAAAUCUAGAUAAAGAAGGAAAGAUAAUCUCAAGAGAGGAACAAGACACUUACAAGGAUUCAGAGAGAACAAUUGCAACUUGAAGAUACCGGAGCAUUCUACAAGAGGAUGUCAGAAGUUUUAACGAUAAAGAGAACCCUUAGGGUUUUCUACCUAGACAAAAGAUCGAUCAAAUGUAGAUUUGUUUCUCCAAGAUAAAUUUAUAUUAUUUUUAUUUGCAAUUUUUAGCAUUCUACACCAGGACAUCAGAAGCUUCAACGAUGAAGAGAACCCUUUGGGUUUCCUAUUUUGGAAAUAGAGACCAACUACUAAAGAGUGACAACAACUAGAUCGAACAAAUUAAUAGUAGUUAAGGAAAUUCUCAACUACAAAGUGAAAUUCAAGAGGAGGUGAAUUGAAAUUCCUCGCAGUCGACCCGCCUUCAGAUCAUCACACUUCACAAAUAAAUUAAACUUAAGCAGUUAAGCAUGUAAAUAAUAAAGCAUAAAGUAAACUAAACAAAGAUUUAUCCGAGUUCAG